UUAAGAAGGUAGCAAUUUGAAAGGCUUUUUAUCAUUUCUUCGGCGUGGGCCCAGCGGGUGAAAACUGCAGAGAUUGAUUUGAGCUCACAAUUAGUGACUGUGAGACGUUACAAAACGCACCCGGUAGCUUUGGUAAGAAGGGCGUUUCCCGCGCUUCAAGGGGCAGCCUGGGAUUUUUUUCUCGGAUGUACGGGCACAUGGGAUAUCCGGCUUCCAAAAUCCCCGGAAGGGAUUCCAGCGGUCACGGAAAGAGAAUGAGGCCGGGCGCCAGAACACGCCGAGAAUACUACAGGGAAAGGAAGGGUCUGAGAGAGUCUACUCCGCACUCGUGCCGGGCUCAGACUCAUACGCGCGGUGGUUUUAGUCGUGUCCGACACUUCCUGACCAUCUGCGAUUUUCUUGGCAAAGAUACGGAAGUGGUUUGCCAUUUUCUUGCUCACUGAGGCAAAUGGGUUGUGUCUUGCCCAGGAUUACUCCGUUAGAGGCUAAAUUUGAACUCCUGACUUCAAGCCCCGCAGCGUGUUAACCGCGCCUUCUAGCUGCCGCAACUUCCUGGGAACUUUUUAAUUAUUAAGAAUAAAUCAAAAGUACCAAACUUUCUUUGUGGAAAGAGAAGCAGAAUGUGCCGUUCCUGCCUCUGGAAUAGGAAAAAACCUCUCCCCUCCUCGCAUUUGCAAAAACAAUUGUAAAAGCUUAAAAAAAACAGCAUAGUUGCGAAUGUGAUGAAGUAGAAGAUUUGAGUUUGAAUCUUAACCCUAGCCACGUGACUGGACGAGUAACUUGGUUUCCUCCUCCGAUGGACCUACCCUUCCUCAUCUGCCUCCACUGCCACUGUUCUCAAAGUGGUGUUACCUAUCUCACAGGGUGGUGAGAAAAUCCCUUUGCGGACUAUGUUGUUAUAAUUACAUAUUUCAUGUUAAUGACAGCAGCAGCAAAUUAUUCCUGGUUUAUUCCGAUCUGUGUUCGAAGCUUGGCUUCUCAGUCUCUAUUCCUAUCCUCUCCAGGUACCCUGGCCCUCUUCUCCCCUCCUCCCAUUGUUUGCUAGGCCUUGCUCUCCCAGGAUAUAGUCUUACUAAUGUAAAUUAAGACAAUUCUGAGAUGAUGAUUGUUGGAGGGGAUGUGGGAAAACUGGGACACUGAUACAUCCUUGGUGGAGCUGCGAACUGAUCCAACCAUCAUGGAGAGCAAUUUGUAACUUCGCCCAGGGGCCUAUCAAACUCAUACCCUUUGAUCCAAAAGUGUCUUUAUUAGGCCUGUUUCCCAAAGAUCAUAAAAAAGGGAAAAGGACCCAUAUUGCAAACAUAUUUGUAAUAGCAGGAACUGAACAUCGAAUGGAUUGGACCAUUUGGUAUUUGUUUUCUUGCUAGUACUAAGUGUACAGGAUCUCUCAUACAGCCCAGAGCUUUUUUUUUUUUUUUUUUUGGUGCAACUUCUGUACAUUCUCAUGAUGUGGCAGGAAAGCAUUGAACUUGGGAUGAAAAAUCUUGGGUAUGAGUCAGUCAUAACUAUGACCACUUACUACCUUAUAAUCCUCAUCAAUUACUUAGGAUCAUAGAAUCAUUGAGUUAUCAAGUCUAACUCUCUUUACUGUUGAGGAAACAGUCUGAGAGAGAUUACCUGACUCCCAGGAUCAGUAAAUGUCAGAGGCAUCAUUCAAACCCAGGUCUUCCUGCCUCUAAAUCUAGCACUGUCCAUUGUACAGCAUUUUGUUGUUGCUCAGUCAUUUCAUUUGUAUCCAAUUUUUCUUGACCCCAUUUAGGUGGAUUUGGUAGAGGUACUGGGAGUAGUUUGUCAUGUCCUUCAGCUUAUUUUACAGAUGAGGAAACUGAGGCAAAUAGCUGAGUAUCUUGCCUAGGGUUAUGAAGCUAAUAAAUGUAUGAAAAUGGAUUGUA